ACUGACGCUAAAGCUCGAAGGUGCGGGUAUCGAACAGGAUUAGAUACCCUGGUAGUCCGCGCGGUAAACGAUGGAUGCCCGCUGUUUGCGAUAUACUGUGAGCGGCCAAGAGAAAUCGUUAAGCAUCCCACCUGGGGAGUACGCCGGCAACGGUGAAACUCAAAGGAAUUGACGGGGGCCCGCACAAGCGGAGGAACAUGUGGUUUAAUUCGAUGAUACGCGAGGAACCUUACCCGGGCUUGAACUGCAGGCGAACGAUACAGAGAUGUUGAGGCCCUUCGGGGCGCCUGUGGAGGUGCUGCAUGGUUGUCGUCAGCUCGUGCCGUGAGGUGUCGGCUUAAGUGCCAUAACGAGCGCAACCCUUUUCAUUAGUUGCCAUCAGGCAAUGCUGGGCACUCUGGUGAUACUGCCACCGUAAGGUGUGAGGAAGGUGGGGAUGACGUCAAAUCAGCACGGCCCUUACGUCCGGGGCUACACACGUGUUACAAUGGGAGGUACAGAGAGUCGGAUGUACGCAAGUACAUUCUAAUCCUAAAAGCCUUCCUCAGUUCGGAUUGGGGUCUGCAACCCGACCCCAUGAAGCUGGAUUCGCUAGUAAUCG
rnacentral:rRNA from 1 species